GAUGAAGAACGUAGCGAAAUGCGAUAAGUAGUGUGAAUUGAAGAAUUCAGUGAAUCAUCGAAUCUUUGAACGCACAUUGCGGCCAUAGGUAUUCCUUUGGCCAUGCCUGUUCGAGCGUCAUUUACACCCUCAAGCCUAGCUUGGUGUUGGGCGUCUGUCCCGCCGUUCUCGCGCGCGGACUCGCCUCAAAGUCAUUGGCGGCGGUCGUGCCGGCCCCCUCGCGCAGCACAUUUGCGCUUCUCGGAGGCCCGGCGGAUCCGCGCUCCAGCAAGACCUUUCACGACUUGACCUCGGAUCAGGUAGGGAUACCCGCUGAACUUAAGCAUAUCAAUAAGCGGAGGA
rnacentral:misc_RNA from 1 species